AUGGCACAACAUAAUGUCAACUUGGUCUGUUGGAACGUGCGCGGCCUCAACUCCCCUGCCCGUCGCGACGCGGUGCGCGACACCGUCCGCGAUUGCAAAGCCACAAUUGUGUGUCUUCAGCUUGAGAUUGUCGACGAUGUGUUGAUCACUAGCAUGUUAGGCCCUUCCUUUGCCGCCAACUACUUCAUCCUUCUGGCUGCUGGCGGGGGGGGGGGGAUGAUAAUGGCUGUCUCGGAUACUUUCUUCAAGUUGUCGGACUUCCAUGCUACACCGGGAUCAAUAUCCGCAACUAUCACCAUGUUGGCCGAGGGCACUCAAUGGACCCUCUCCUGUGUCUACGGCCAAGGAGAGCAAGAGAAGCUGCUCUUCAUCAGUGAGCUCAGGCUAAAUUUUUUAGUCAAGCCGAGCUGGCUAAUUCUUGGUGAUUUCAACCUUUUGACCAAAGCGGCCGACAAGAACAACCGAACCAUCAAUCGACGCCUUAUUGGCAGUUUCUGUGGCGCUCUCGACCACCUCCACCUCUGUCUGGACGCAAGUUCACUUGGUCAAAUGCUCAAGACACCCCGGUGCUAA
rnacentral:rRNA from 1 species